GACAGAGGUGCCAAGCGUUAGGCGGAAUCACUGGGCGUAAAGCGCACGUAGGCGGGUUGCCAGUCGGGGGUGAAAUCCUGGAGCUCAACUCCAGAACUGCCUUCGAUACUGGCGACCUUGGAGUCCGGAGAGGUGAGUGGAACUGCGAGUGUAGAGGUGAAAUUCGUAGAUAUUCGCAAGAACACCAGUGCGAAGGCGGCUCACUGGCCCGGUACUGACGCUGAGGUGCGAAAGCGUGGGAGCAAACAGG
rnacentral:rRNA from 1 species